rnacentral:rRNA from 1 species
AUUGAACGCUGGCGGCAUGCUUUACACAUGCAAGUCGAACGGUAACAGGCCGCAAGGUGCUGACGAGUGGCGAACGGGUGAGUAAUGCAUCGGAACGUGCCCAGUCGUGGGGGAUAACGCAGCGAAAGCUGCGCUAAUACCGCAUACGAUCUAUGGAUGAAAGCGGGGGACCGUAAGGCCUCGCCCGAUUGGAGCGGCCGAUGUCAGAUUAGGUAGUUGGUGGGGUAAAGGCUCACCAAGCCAACGAUCUGUAGCUGGACUGAGAGGACGACCAGCCACACUGGGACUGAGACACGGCCCAGACUCCUACGGGAGGCAGCAGUGGGGAAUUUUGGACAAUGGGCGCAAGCCUGAUCCAGCAAUGCCGCGUGCAGGAAGAAGGCCUUCGGGUUGUAAACUGCUUUUGUACGGAACGAAACGGUCCUGGUUAAUACCCGGGGCUAAUGACGGUACCGUAAGAAUAAGCACCGGCUAACUACGUGCCAGCAGCCGCCGUAAUAC